rnacentral:rRNA from 1 species
AAACCAGCACCUCAAGUGGUCAGUAGGAUUAUUGGGCCUAAAGCAUCCGUAGCCUGUUCUAUAAGUUUCCGGUUAAAUCCACUAGCUCAACUAGUGGGCUGCCGAAAAUACUGUAGAACUAGGGAGUGGGAGAGGUAGACGGUAUUCGGUAGGAAGGGGUAAAAUCCUUUGAUCUAUUGAGGACCACCUGUGGCGAAGGCGGUCUACCAGAACACGUUCGACGGUGAGGGAUGAAAGCUGGGGGAGCAAACCGGAUUAGAAACCCCGGUAGUCC